rnacentral:rRNA from 1 species
GAUGAACGCUGGCGGCGUGCCUAAUACAUGCAAGUCGAGCGAACAGACGUGGCUCUUGCUCCUCUGACGUUACCGGCGGACGGGUGAGUAACACGUGGACAACCUACCUCUAAGACUUGGAUAACUGCGGGAAUCCGGAGUUCAUACCGGGUAAUAUCUUGCACAGGAUGGUUCAAUAGUAGAAGAAGCGUUUGCUGACACGUAUAGAUCGGUACGCGGCGCUUUAGCUAGUAGGUAAGGCAACGGCUUAGCACGGAAACGAUCCGUAGCCGACCGGCGAGGGUGAUCGGCCACACUGAAAGUGAGACACGGCCCAGACGCCUAGGGGAGGCAGCAGAAGGGCUUCUGGCGGAAUGGGCGGAAGACUGAGGGAGAAACGCCGCGCUAGUGAUGAAGGACGUCGGGUCGUAAAACACUGUUAUUAGAGAAGAACAAAUGUGUAAGUAACAAGGAACAAAUGGACGGUACCUAGUCAGAAAGCCCCGCUUACCUCGGU